rnacentral:rRNA from 1 species
ACGCUGGCGGCGUGCCUAAUACAUGCAAGUAGAACGCUGAAGCUUGGUGCUUGCACCGAGCGGAUGAGUUGCGAACGGGUGAGUAACGCGUAGGUAACCUGCCUCUUAGCGGGGGAUAACUAUUGGAAACGAUAGCUAAUACCGCAUAAAAGUCGAUAUCGCAUGAUGUUGACUUGAAAGGUGCAAUUGCAUCACUAAGAGAUGGACCUGCGUUGUAUUAGCUAGUUGGUGAGGUAACGGCUCACCAAGGCGACGAUACAUAGCCGACCUGAGAGGGUGAUCGGCCACACUGGGACUGAGACACGGCCCAGACUCCUACGGGAGGCAGCAGUAGGGAAUCUUCGGCAAUGGGGGCAACCCUGACCGAGCAACGCCGCGUGAGUGAAGAAGGUUUUCGGAUCGUAAAGCUCUGUUGUAAGAGAAGAACGAGUGUGAGAGUGGAAAGUUCACACUGUGACGGUAACUUACCAGAAAGGGACGGCUAACUACGUGCCAGCAGCCGCGGUAAUACGUAGGUCCCGAGCGUUAUCCGGAUUUAUUGGGCGUAAAGCGAGCGCAGGCGGUUAGAUAAGUCUGAAGUUAAAGGCUGUGGCUUAACCAUAGUACGCUUUGGAAACUGUUUAACUUGAGUGCAGAAGGGGAGAGUGGAAUUCCAUGUGUAGCGGUGAAAUGCGUAGAUAUAUGGAGGAACACCGGUGGCGAAAGCGGCUCUCUGGUCUGUAACUGACGCUGAGGCUCGAAAGCGUGGGGAGCAAACAGGAUUAGAUACCCUGGUAGUCCACGCCGUAAACGAUGAGUGCUAGGUGUUGGGUCCUUUCCGGGACUCAGUGCCGCAGCUAACGCAUUAAGCACUCCGCCUGGGGAGUACGACCGCAAGGUUGAAACUCAAAGGAAUUGACGGGGGCCCGCACAAGCGG